CGUCUAUAUACGUAUAGCAUAUCAAUAAGCGGAGGAAAAGAAACUAACUAGGAUUCCCUCAGUAACGGCGAGUGAAGCGGGAAGAGCUCAAAUUUGAAAUCUUCAAGGUUCUACCUUGACGAAUUGUAGUUUAAAGAAGUGUUUUCUGUUGGAAUUUUGGUAAAAGUUCUUUGGAAAUAGGACAUCAAUAGAGGGUGAGAAUCCCGUAUUUGACCAUUAUUUCCAGCUUUGUGAUACACUUUCAAAGAGUCGGAUUGUUUGGGAAUGCAGUCCAAAAUGGGUGGUAAAUUUCAUCUAAAGCUAAAUACUGGCGAGAGACCGAUAGCGAACAAGUACCGUGAGGGAAAGAUGAAAAGAACUUUGAAAAGAGAGUUAAACAGUACGUGAAAUUGUCAAAAGGGAAGCGUUUGACACCAGUGUUGUUUUCUCGAAAAUCAAUUAAAAAUGGUGGGAUUUUGUGUUGUAUUGACUUUAUCAGCUUUCUGCACUUUUUUCCUGUCUUUUUUAAUGCACUUUUCGUUUAACAAGUCAACAUCAAUUUCUUUUGUUGUAAAAGGGUCAUUGGAAGGUGGCUUUCAUUUCGGAUGAAAGUGUUUAUAGCCUUUGGACUUCUGCAAUCGGAGAGAUUGAGGUCUGCAGCGUAGAUCCUUCGGGGUUAGAUACAUUUGUGCUAAGCUAUAGCCUUUUCAUAGACAACAUUGUUGACUAUGAUUCAUCAUGUAGCUUACUCGCUUAUGUCUAUUCUACCUACGCUUAGGAUGUUGACGAUCAGCUGAGCGCG
rnacentral:rRNA from 1 species